rnacentral:rRNA from 1 species
GACGAACGCUGGCGGCGUGCCUAAUACAUGCAAGUCGAACGGUCCUUUCUAUGGAAGCUUGCUUCCACUGAGAAGAUAGUGGCGAACGGGUGAGUAACACGUGGGUAACCUGCCCAUAAGAGGGGGAUAACAUCCGGAAACGGGUGCUAAUACCGCAUAGGAUUCUUGAUCGCAUGAUCGAGAAAGGAAAGACGGCCUUUGUGCUGUCGCUUAUGGAUGGACCCGCGGCGUAUUAGUUAGUUGGUGAGGUAACGGCUCACCAAGACGAUGAUACGUAGCCGACCUGAGAGGGUGAUCGGCCACAUUGGGACUGAGACACGGCCCAAACUCCUACGGGAGGCAGCAGUAGGGAAUCUUCCGCAAUGGACGAAAGUCUGACGGAGCAACGCCGCGUGAGUGAAGAAGGUUUUCGGAUCGUAAAACUCUGUUGUCAGAGAAGAACAAGUCGGAGAGUAACUGCUCCGGCCUUGACGGUAUCUGACCAGAAAACCACGGCUAACUUCGUGCCAGCCGCCGCAGUAAAAC